rnacentral:snRNA from 9 species
AUACUUACCUGGCGUGAAAAGAUACCGUGAUCAUGCAGGCGGUUCCCCCAGGGCGAGGCUGCUCCACUGCACUGCGGAGUGGUUGACCCUUGCGACUAUUCUUAUUUUUAUCAAUAGUAAAAUC